GACGAACGCUGGCGGCGUGCUUAACACAUGCAAGUCGAACGGUGAAGCGAGUGCUUGCACUCGUGGAUCAGUGGCGAACGGGUGAGUAACACGUGAGUAACCUGCCCAUCACUCUGGGAUAAGCACUGGAAACGGUGUCUAAUACUGGAUACGACCAACCCUUGCAUGGGGUGUUGGUGGAAAGAUUUAUCGGUGAUGGAUGGACUCGCGGCCUAUCAGCUUGUUGGCGGGGUAAUGGCCCACCAAGGCGACGACGGGUAGCCGGCCUGAGAGGGUGACCGGCCACACUGGGACUGAGAGACGGCCCAGACUCCUACGGGAGGCAGCAGUGGGGAAUAUUGCACAAUGGGCGAAAGCCUGAUGCAGCGACGCCGCGUGAGGGAUGACGGCCUUCGGGUUGUAAACCUCUUUCAGCAGGGAAGAAGCGAAAGUGACGGUACCUGCAGAAGAAGCACCGGCUAACUACGUG
rnacentral:rRNA from 1 species